UACGUAGGGUGCGAGCGUUGUCCGGAAUUACUGGGCGUAAAGAGCUCGUAGGUGGUUUGUCGCGUUGUCCGUGAAAACUCACAACUCAAUUGUGGGCGUGCGGGCGAUACGGGCAGACUGGAGUACUGCAGGGGAGACUGGAAUUCCUGGUGUAGCGGUGGAAUGCGCAGAUAUCAGGAGGAACACCGGUGGCGAAGGCGGGUCUCUGGGCAGUAACUGACGCUGAGGAGCGAAAGCGUGGGGAGCGAGCAGG
rnacentral:rRNA from 1 species